rnacentral:rRNA from 1 species
AGAGUUUGAUCCUGGCUCAGGACGAACGCUGGCGGCGUGCUUAACACAUGCAAGUCGAGCGGUAAGGCCCUUUCGGGGGUACACGAGCGGCGAACGGGUGAGUAACACGUGGGUGACCUGCCCUCAGCUCUGGGAUAAGCCUGGGAAACUGGGUCUAAUACCGGAUAUGACUCCAUGACGCAUGUUGUGGGGUGGAAAGCCUUGUGCGGCUGGGGAUGGGCCCGCGGCCUAUCAGCUUGUUGGUGGGGUGAUGGCCUACCAAGGCGACGACGGGUAGCCGGCCUGAGAGGGCGACCGGCCACACUGGGACUGAGACACGGCCCAGACUCCUACGGGAGGCAGCAGUAGGGAAUCUUGCGCAAUGGGCGAAAGCCUGACGCAGCGACGCCGCGUGAGGGAUGACGGCCUUCGGGUUGUAAACCUCUUUCAGCUCCGACGAAGCGAAAGUGACGGUAGGAGCAGAAGAAGCACCGGCCAACUACGUGCCAGCAGCCGCGGUAAUACGUAGGAUGCAAGCGUUGUCCGGAAUUAUUGGGCGUAAAGAGCUCGUAGGCGGUCUGUCGCGUCGGCUGUGAAAACUUGGGGCUCAACUCCGAGCUUGCAGUCGAUACGGGCAGGCUAGAGUUCGGCAGGGGAGACUGGAAUUCCUGGUGUAGCGGUGAAAUGCGCAGAUAUCAGGAGGAACACCGGUGGCGAAGGCGGGUCUCUGGGCCGAUACUGACGCUGAGGAGCGAAAGCGUGGGGAGCGAACAGGAUUAGAUACCCUAGUAGUCC